rnacentral:rRNA from 1 species
CUGGCUCAGAUUGAACGCUGGCGGCAGGCCUAACACAUGCAAGUCGAGCGGCAGCACGGGUACUUGUACCUGGUGGCGAGCGGCGGACGGGUGAGUAAUGCCUAGGAAUCUGCCUGGUAGUGGGGGAUAACGCUCGGAAACGGACGCUAAUACCGCAUACGUCCUACGGGAGAAAGCAGGGGACCUUCGGGCCUUGCGCUAUCAGAUGAGCCUAGGUCGGAUUAGCUAGUUGGUGAGGUAAUGGCUCACCAAGGCGACGAUCCGUAACUGGUCUGAGAGGAUGAUCAGUCACACUGGAACUGAGACACGGUCCAGACUCCUACGGGAGGCAGCAGUGGGGAAUAUUGGACAAUGGGCGAAAGCCUGAUCCAGCCAUGCCGCGUGUGUGAAGAAGGUCUUCGGAUUGUAAAGCACUUUAAGUUGGGAGGAAGGGCAGUUACCUAAUACGUGAUUGUUUUGACGUUACCGACAGAAUAAGCACCGGCUAACUCUGUGCCAGCAGCCGCGGUAAUACAGAGGGUGCAAGCGUUAAUCGGAAUUACUGGGCGUAAAGCGCGCGUAGGUGGUUUGUUAAGUUGGAUGUGAAAUCCCCGGGCUCAACCUGGGAACUGCAUCCAAAACUGGCAAGCUAGAGUAUGGUAGAGGGUGGUGGAAUUUCCUGUGUAGCGGUGAAAUGCGUAGAUAUAGGAAGGAACACCAGUGGCGAAGGCGACCACCUGGACUGAUACUGACACUGA